UUCCUCAUUUCUUAUGGCUGAAUAGUAUUCCAUUGUAUGUAUAUACCACAUGUUCUUUAGUCAUUCAUCUGUAGCUGGAGACUUAGAUUGUUUUCACGUCUUGGCUAUUGUGA